rnacentral:rRNA from 1 species
CCCCUAGUUCGGAUUGUAGGCUGCAACUCGCCUACAUGAAGCUGGAAUUGCUAGUAAUCAUAGGUCAGCAUACUAUGGUGAAUACGUUCCCGGGCCUUGUACACACCGCCCGUCACACCAUGAGAGUUGAGAAUACCCGAAGUCCAUGUCAAAGUGGCCGAAGGUAGGCUUGAUGAUUGGGGUGAAGUCGUAACAAGGUAAC